rnacentral:SRP_RNA from 1 species
GUUGGUUGCUGCGUUGGCCCUGAAACUCUUCUUUACUUUUUCGCAGGCUGCGGUAAUUACCGGAUCUGGAAAACCUGCUUCUCGGAGCCUUGCAAUUUGGUCUAACACGCUCUCCUUCAUUUUGUGCUCGCACGAUUUUGACAGCGCAAAAUGAAGGAGAGCGUGUUAGACCAAAUUGCAAGGCUCCGAGAAGCAGGUUUUCCAGAUCCGGUAAUUACCGCAGCCUGCGAAAAAGU